rnacentral:rRNA from 1 species
UAAGGAAUAUUGGUCAAUGGACGCAAGUCUGAACCAGCCAUGCCGCGUGAAGGAUGAAGGCCCUCUGGGUUGUAAACUUCUUUUAUCAGGGACGAAAAAAGCUCAUUCUUGAGCACUUGACGGUACCAGAGGAAUAAGCACCGGCUAACUCCGUGCCAGCAGCCGCGGUAAUACGGAGGGUGUAAGCGUUAUCCGGAUUCACUGGGUUUAAAGGGUGCGUAGGUGGGUUGGUAAGUCAGUGGUGAAAUCUCCGAGCUUAACUCGGAAACUGCCAUUGAUACUAUCAAUCUUGAAUUUUCUGGAGGUGAGCGGAAUAUGUCAUGUAGCGGUGAAAUGCUUAGAUAUGACAUAGAACACCCAUUGCGAAGGCAGCUCACUACGGGAUAAUUGACACUGAGGCACGAAAGCGUGGGGAUCAAACAG